GGGCUACUUCUAUAGAAGGAGGUACAACUGCGUGAAUAAUGUUGGCCUAUAAAGCAGUAGGUAAUUUAAGUUACAUAAUCUGCAAUGUAAUUUUGAAACUCAUGUUGAAAAGAUAUUGUAUUCACUAUUCAGAUUAGUAUUAUUGUCAAGCAUGUAUACAAAUCAAACUCGCUAGAAAACGCACUUGUCAACAUUUAAUACAGCCAACUGAUUUAGCUUUGUGCAAAUUAUUUUCUAUCAACUUCCAGUAUUUCUGGAUUUUUUUGAUCUCUACAUUUCUAUGCACUGUUUUGGUAACUACAGAUCUGUGUUUGCAAUGAAGCAUGCUCUGUUUGUCGGCGCACAUAUUUUUUAGGCAUGUACCUCCCUGUAUCUUCAUUAUGUUCUUUAUAAGGUGUUUAUUAACUCAAUUUACAUAUGAAUGGUCUAUUCAUAAGGCUCUCUUUUCUUUGUCAAUAAAGUUGAGUGUUAUAGCUAGGACUGUAAAGAAGUGUUCCAAUUAUGAUAUAUUAAAGCCCUUUAGAGGUCGACGCAUGCUGGAUGAUGCAACGAUUAUUUUGGUGCUUGCUUUGACUUAGGUGUUCAGAGAAGUAAAACUUCAACUAACGUGUUUAGUGAGCAUCAAACAUCCAUCUCAAGAUAAGGUAUGCUCAUUUCUCUACUAUUUGGAAUUCAACCUGGCUGAGGAACAAUUUAUUAUUGAUCAUUGUUUUUGCAAUACGAAUGCUUAUUGUAGUUCCUGCUUGGCUUGGGAAAUCUAAACAAGAAUGUUGCUCUUGCUACACUCCAAAGUACCGACCUAGAAUGUAAAACAAAAAUUGAGGGUGUCAAACUUGGUAAUUGAUUCUUGAUUGACAGGACCAAUAACAAAACUGUUGGUCAUAUAGCAAGAUUAACUUUCACAUGACCUUGAACCUUUGUAUGUUGCUCUUUGUUUAAAUUUUACUGCCCUAUUAACUUGAUUUUCUUUGAUGGCACCUUACUUUUCUCAUUUCUUUGUUGUUGUAGAUUGCAAGAUAAAUCGAUGAUGCGUUGCUCAGGAGUUGAUUGCAAGAUCAACGAGGCGGCUACUACUAGAUAGUUGUAGAUUAGAUUUUAGAAUGUCAUUCGGGUCAAUGUUCCAAACAUUAUGUUUUAGAUGGCUGACAUGUUGAUUGCAAGGUUGAGAAUCAGACUACUACUAGAUAGCUUCACAUAUUGUAAUCCUUGUAUAAUGUUCUUUGUAAAGCCACUGAGUUGAAUUAAUAUAUGUGACCUUUUUAAUUAUUAUGUUUG
rnacentral:lncRNA from 1 species